rnacentral:rRNA from 1 species
CCUACGGGAGGCAGCAGUGAGGAAUAUUGGUCAAUGGACGAAAGUCUGAACCAGCCAAGCAGCGUGAAGGAUGACGGCACUAUGGGUUGUAAACUUCUUUUAUAAAGGAAUAAAACGAGGCACGUGUGCCUUUUUGCAUGUACUUUAUGAAUAAGGAUCGGCUAACUCCGUGCCAGCAGCCGCGGUAAUACGGAGGAUCCGAGCGUUAUCCGGAUUUAUUGGGUUUAAAGGGAGCGUAGAUGGGUUGUUAAGUCAGUUGUGAAAGUUUGCGGCUCAACCGUAAAAUUGCAAUUGAUACUGGCAGUCUUGAGUACAGGUGAGGUAGGCGGAAUUCGUGGUGUAGCGGUGAAAUGCUUAGAUAUCACGAAGAACCCCGAUUGCGAAGGCAGCUUACUAAACUGUAACUGACAUUGAGGCUCGAAAGCGUGGGGAGCAAACAGGAUUAGAUACCCUUGUAGUC